GGGUGAGUAACACGUAGGUAAUCUACCAUUCAGUGGAGAACAACCUGUCGAAAGAUGGGCUAAUUCUGCAUACGUCCUUUGUCACGAUGUGGCGAUUGGGAAAGGUGGCCUCUCCAUGGAAGCUAUCGCUGAUUGAUGAGCCUGCGUACCAUUAGCUUGUUGGUAGGGUAAUGGCCUACCAAGGCUACGAUGGUUAGCUGAUCUGAGAGGAUGAUCAGCCACACUGGAACUGAGACACGGUCCAGACUCC
rnacentral:rRNA from 1 species